GAAAGCAAAACCUAGAAGCAACAAAUUAAAACUAAAAAUUAAACCUAACAAAAUACAAAAAAAAAAAAGGAAAGUUUGCCAUUUCCUAUAGUUAAAAAGAAAGGAAAGACUCAAAUACGCCAACUCAUUUAAUAUAGUCAAACUUAACAUACGAGAGGCUCCUCAAGAGAAGGGAAGGUGACGUACUCCCUAAUCGUAGAGCUAAAAAAGUAUC
rnacentral:lncRNA from 1 species